CUGGUUUUGCUGGUGAUGAUGCUCCCAGGGCUGUUUUUCCUAGUAUUGUUGGUCGGCCACGACAUACUGGUGUCAUGGUUGGUAUGGGGCAGAAAGAUGCCUAUGUGGGUGAUGAGGCACAGUCUAAAAGAGGUAUUCUUACCUUGAAAUAUCCCAUUGAGCAUGGUAUAGUAAGCAACUGGGAUGACAUGGAGAAGAUCUGGCAUCACACUUUCUACAAUGAGCUUCGUGUUGCUCCUGAAGAGCACCCAGUUCUUCUUACUGAGGCUCCUCUUAACCCCAAGGCCAACAGAGAAAAGAUGACCCAGAUCAUGUUUGAGACCUUCAAUGUGCCUGCUAUGUACGUUGCCAUCCAGGCCGUUCUCUCUCUGUAUGCCAGUGGUCGUACAACUGGUUAGUAUGACUAUUUCUGUGGUUUGAGUCUUAAUGUUCCUAUCAUCAAAUUAUUCUGGCAUUGAAUGGGCUCUUCUUUUUACAGGUAUCGUGCUCGACUCUGGUGAUGGUGUGAGUCACACCGUGCCUAUCUAUGAAGGUUAUGCCCUCCCCCAUGCCAUCCUUCGUCUGGACCUUGCUGGACGUGACCUCACAGAUUCUUUGAUGAAGAUUCUCACUGAAAGAGGGUACAUGUUCACCACCACUGCUGAACGGGAAAUUGUCCGUGACAUGAAGGAGAAGCUUGCAUAUGUUGCCCUUGACUACGAACAAGAACUUGAGAC
rnacentral:lncRNA from 1 species